rnacentral:rRNA from 1 species
AUUGAACGCUAGCGGGAUGCUUUACACAUGCAAGUCGAACGGAGUGGCGGACGGGUGAGUAAUAUAUCGGAAAGUGCCCAGUAGCGGGGGAUAACUACUCGAAAGCGUGGCUUAUACCGCAUACUAUUGGAGCGGCCGAUCUCGGAUUAGCUAGUUGGGGGGGUAACGGCUCACUAAGGCGACGAUCCGUAGCUGGUUUGAGAGGACGACCAGCCACACUGGGACUGAGACACGGCCCAGACCCCUACGGGAGGAAGCAGUGGGGAAUUUUGGACAAUGGGGGAAACCCUGCUCCAGCCAUCCCGCGUGUAUGAUGAAGGCCUUCGGGUUGUAAAGUACUUUUGGCAGGGAAGCGGUAUCGGCAGAAUAAGCACCGGCUAACUACGUGCCAGCAGCCGCGGUAAUAC